UGAGUUCUGUCCGGGGGCAGAUGAGGAGCAGGUGGAAUGUCUGUGGGUACGAAUUAAGGGACAGGCUGGUACAGGUGAUACAGCUGUGGGAGUCUAUUAUAGACCUCCUGAUCAGGAUGAAGGAGUUGAUGAGGUUUUCUACAGGCAACUGGAAGUAGCCUCACGACUACAUGCCUUGGUCCUCAUGGGGGAUUUUAACUACCCUGAUAUUUGCUGGAAGACUCACACAGCCAAUCAUUCACAGUCCAGGAGGUUCCUCCAGUGCAUUGAUGAUAACUUCUUAAUGCAAAUGGUGGACAAACCAACUAGGAGAGGAGAGCUGCUAGAUUUAGUACUCACCAACAAGGAGGGUUUGGUUGAAGUGGUGAUGGUCAAUGGCAGCCUUGGCUGCAGUGACCAUGAGAUGGUGGAGUUUAGGAUCCUGUGUGGGAGGAAUAGAAUACCUAGCAAGGCCACAGUUCUGGAUUUCAGAAGGGCCAACUUUGGCCUCUUCAAUCAACUGCUAAGGGAAGUCCCAUGGGAAAGGGUACUAGGUGGUAAAGGGGCUCAUGAUAGUUGGUCAGCAUUCAAGGACCACUUCUUCCAAGCUCAGGAUCAGAGCAUCCCAAUGAGUAGGAAAUCAAGUAAGGGAUCUAGGAGACCAGCGUGGUUAAACAAGGAGCUGCUGGGCAAACUCAAGUGGAAAAGGAGAAUCUAUGGAUUAUGGAAAGAGGGGCUGGCCACUUGGGAGGAAUAUAGGACAGUUGUUAGAGAAUGUAGGGAGGCAAUUAGGACAGCUAAGGCCUCCUUGGAACUUAAUCUUUCAAGUCGGAUUAAGGACAAUAGAAAGGGCUUCUUCAAAUACAUAGCAAAUAAAAUUAACGCAAGAGGCAAUAUAGGCCUACUGUUGAACGAGGUGGGUGCCCUGGAGACAGAGGAUAGAAAGAAGGCAGAAAUGCUGAAUGCUUUCUUUGCCUCUGUCUUUACUCCUGCAGACUCUCACCAGGGGCCCCAGAUUCCUAUAGCCCCAGAAGGAGUCAGGACAAAGGAGGAGUUUGCUUUGGUAGAUGAGGAUUGGGUUAGGGAUCAUCUAUGCAAUCUGGACAUCUAUAUAUCGAUGGGUCCAGAUGGAAUGCACCCACGGGUGCUGAGGGAGCUGGUGGAGGUCAUUGCUAGGCCACUCUCCAUCAUCUUUGGUAAAUCGUGGGAAACAGGAGAGGUGCCUGAGGAUUGGAAGAUGGCAAAUGUCACACCAAUCUAU
rnacentral:lncRNA from 14 species